GAACGAUUAGAAGCCGCGCAUUUCACGGCGAGAAACGAGCGAGACAAGAUGCGUCUUUCUUCGCGAACGGCUGUUUUCCUGGCGGCGGCUCUCCUGGCGGCGGCGGCGGUCGCGCCUAUUGAGUGCGGUCCGAUUGCAUGCCGCAAAUCUCCCGAGGCAGGGAACGGAGGAAUGGAAUCGCCUCCCGACGCGCAACGACGGAACCUUCCCGAACCCGUGACUGUCUCGGCGUCCUACACUGUGAAUACGUAGAGGAUGCACAGAGCGGAGGAUGGCACCGCCUCCCCGCUGCUUUAGUGGGACAAAAUAAAGUCCACAGAAUUGGGGAUAAAGAGUUUA